UCUGCUGUACCCCAGUAUCUCUGAGGAACCAGCUAAAUGUGUUCCCUUCUCCAGAUAGUAUCUUGCUGUACCCCAGUAUAUCUGAGGAACCAGCUAAAUGUGUUUCCCCUCUCCAGAUGGUAUCAGCUGUUCCCCAGUAUCUCUGAGGAACCAGCUAAAUGUAUUCCCCUCUCCAGAUAGUAUCUGCUAAAUGUGUUUCCCCUCUCCAGAUAGUAUCUGCUGUACCCCAGUAUCUCUGAGGAACCAGCUAAAUGUGUUUCCCCUCUCCAGAUAGUAUCUGCUGUACCCCAGUAUCUCUGAGGAACCAGCUAAAUGUGUUCUCCUCUCCAGAUGGUAUAAGCUGUUCCCCAGUAUCUCUGAGGAACCAGCUAAAUGUAUUCCCCUCUCCAGAUAGUAUCUGCUGUACCCCAGUAUCUCUGAGGAACCAGCUAAAUGUGUUUCCCCUCUCCAGAUAGUAUCUGCUGUACCCCAGUAUCUCUGAGGAACUGCAAAAUUUGUUCCCCUCUCCAGAGAGUAUCUGCUGUACCCCAGUAUCUCUGAGGAACCAGCUAAAUGUGUUUCCCCUCUCCAGAUAGUAUCUGCUGUACCCCAGUAUCUCUGAGGAACCAGCUAAAUGUGUUCCCCUCUCCAGAUAGUAUCUGCAGUACCCCAGUAUCUCUGAGGAACCAGCUAAAUGUGUUCCCCUCUCCAGAUAGUACCUUGCUGUACCCCAGUAUCUCUGAGGAACCAGCUAUAUGUGUUCCCCUCUCCAGAUGGUAUCUCCUGUACCCCAGUAUCUCUGAGGAACCAGCUAAAUGUGUUUCCCUCUCCAGAUAGUAUCUGCUGUACCCCAGUAUCUCUGAGGAACCAGCUAAAUGUGUUCCCCUCUCCAGAUAGUAUCUUCCUGUACCCCAGAAUCUCUGAGGAACCAGCUAAAUGUAUUGCCCUCUCCAGAUAAUAUCUUGCUGUACCCCAGUAUCUCUGAGGAACCAGCUAAAUGUGUUCCCCUCUCCAGAUAGUAUCUGCUGUACCCCAGUAUCUCUGAGGAACCAGCUAAAUGUGUUCCCCUCUCCAGAUAGUAUCUUGCUGUACUCCAGUAUCUCUGAGGAACCAGCUAAAUGUGUUUCCCCUCUCCAGAUAGUAUAUGCUAAAUGUGUUCCCCCUCUCCAGAUUGUAUCUGCUGUACCCCAGUAUCUCUGAGGAACCAGCUAAAUGUGUUCCCCUCUCCAGAUAGUAUCUGCUGUACCCCAGUAUCUCUGAAGAACCAGCUAAAUGUGUUCCCCUCUCCAGAUAGUAUCUUGCUGUACUCCAGUAUCUCUGAGGAACCAGCUAAAUGUGUUUCCCCUCUCCAGAUAGUAUAUGCUAAAUGUGUUCCCCCUCUCCAGAUUGUAUCUGCUGUACCCCAGUAUCUCUGAGGAACCAGCUAAAUGUGUUUCUCUCUCCAGAUAGUAUCUGCUGUACCCAAGUAUCUCUGAGGAACCAGCUAAAUGUGUUCCCCUCUCCAGAUAGUAUCUUGCUGUACCCCAGUAUCUCUGAGGAACCAGCUAAAUGUAUUUCCCCUCUCCAGAUAGUAUCUGCUGUACCCCAGUAUCUCUGAGGAACCAGCUAAAUGUGUUCCCCUCUCCAGAUGGUAUCAGCUGUUCCCCAGUAUCUCUGAGGAACCAGCUAAAUGUGUUCCCCUCUCCAGAUAGUAUCUGCUGUACCCCUGUAUAUCUGAGGAACCAGCUAAAUGUGUUUCCCCUCUCCAGAUAGUAUCUGCUGUACCCCAGUAUCUCUGAGGAACCAGCUAAAUGUAUUCACCUCUCCAGAUAGUAUCUGCUGUACCCCAGUAUCUCUGAGGUACCAGCUAAAUGUGUUUCCCCUCUCCAGAUAGUAUCUACUGUACCCCAGUAUCUCUGAGGAACUGCAAAAUUUGUUCCCCUCUCCAGAGAGUAUCUGCUGUACCCCUGUAUCUCUGAGGAACCAGCUAAAUGUGUUUCCCCUCUCCAGAUAGUAUCUGCUGUACCCCAGUAUCUCUGAGGAACCAGCUAAAUGUGUUCCCCUCUCCAGAUAGUACCUUGCUGUACCCCAGUAUCUCUGAGGAACCAGCUAUAUGUGUUCCCCUCUCCAGAUGGUAUCUCCUUUACCCCAGUAUCUCUGAGGAACCAGCUAAAUGUGUUCCCCUCUCCAGAUAGUAUCUUGCUGUACUCCAGUAUCUCUGACGAACCAGCUAAAUGUAUUUCCCCUCUCCAGAUAUCAAUGAGUGUUUGCUGUACCCCAGUAUCUGUGAGGAACCAGCUAAAUGUAUUCCCCUCUCCAGAUAAUAUCUUGCUGUACCCCAGUAUCUCUGAGGAACCAGCUAAAUGUGUUCCCCUCUCCAGAUAGUAUCUGCUGUACCCCAGUAUCUCUGAGGAACCAGCUAAAUGUAUUUCCCCUCUCCAGAUAGUAUCUGCUGUACCCCAGUAUCUCUGAGGAACCAGCUAAAUGUGUUCCCCUCUCGAGAUAGUAUCUGCUAAAUGUGUUCCCCCUCUCCAGAUAGUAUCUGCUGUACCCCAGUAUCUCUGAGGAACCAGCUAAAUGUAUUCCCCUCUCCAGAUAGUAUCUGCUGUACCCCAGUAUCUCCGAGGAACCAGCUAAAUGUGUUCCCCUCUCCAGAUAGUAUCUGCUGUACCCCAGUAUCUCUGAGGAAC